UCGAUACCUUUUUAGUUACAACCAUUUGAAAUUGAAUCGAGUCGGGCUGGCCCAAAGCCAUUAUUCACUUUCGGCCAUAAAGAGAUUAAGAAGGACUUUUUUGCAAAUAUUGAAAACUGUUGGACUUGCAGGUAAUUAAAAGAAAAAUUCGGUGUAAAGAUGUGAAAUGGAGGGACCUGAACGCAGAAGUUUCAAUACACUCAUGGGCCAUGUGUAAUUAACUUGUUGAAGAUCUGUUUAGUUGAACCAAUAUGUGAUUUAAUAAUAAAAAAUAUAAGGUGGUUAGAAAAUGUGUAGGUGGUUAUUUUUAACUCCCAACCUAUCUUAGGUGGGUAUUUUUAACAUUUUUCCUAAAAAAAAUAUUAUAAAUGGUCAUUGAUUUCAUCUCAUUCAAUUAAUGGUUUUCACAUCUUUCAAAAAGUCUUGAGAAAAUAACUGUAAAACAAUUACUACUAUUUACUCAUUUCCCCAAACUAAAACCUAAUUUCUCGCCGCCCGUCUACUUCCAGCGGCACCUCACCUUGUCGCCCACAACAAAGUUUAUAGGCCCAACCAAAUUAAUUUGAUUUAAUCGUGGAGCAAAUCCGAUCGUGUUUAGGAAAAUUAAAACACUAGCUACAUUUACAACAUUUCGAAAUUCCGUUGAGUUUAUGUAUAUAUUUUUUGUAAAUAAUGAAUUAUGUAGGCGUGAUUAAAAAUAAUUAUAGAUUUAAUUAUGCAAAAUCUCAUACGAUUAGCGUGAUCAGGAUUCCUAACAGGUUUGGGUGUGGAUCUCUUCAUUCUUAAUUUAAAAAAAAAGAAUUUUUAGUUUUAUUAAAAAAAAAUUGAAUAAUAGUAAAUCUAGAGUUUUAGACUUACACACUUAGUGAAUAAUGAAGACGAUUAGAGAUCGGAGUAUCG
rnacentral:lncRNA from 1 species